CCACAACACACGGGAGUCCGGUGAGCCGGGCUGAGAGGAAGCGAACCACGCUUCGACCGUCGAACCUGAUCUGGGUCAUGCCAGCGCAGGGAGGAGAAGAACAGAUGUC
rnacentral:ncRNA from 3 species